AGAAGACAAUAAAUAAUUCCAUUUUACAAUUGUUCCCGGUUGAUGACCUGUAUGGGCCAAUCAGCUCUUAUGAAAUAAUUGUCUUUGGUGGUCAGGAACGCAAUUUGAGCACAGACUGUAGGAGUUUCAGAAAAAUCCACUACAACUCCAGCAGGACUUCAAGUUACUAUACUGCGGCUGUUCUUUCAGCACAGGACCUAACCAGUUCCAGGACCUUCAUUCCGGGGGAUAAUCAGCAUUAUAAUGGAUUUUACAACGCCCCUCUUAUCCCCAAACAUACCUAUACCAUCUACAUACGGGUCAACAGCCAAUGGAAACAGGCGAAUAAAUCAUCGUGUGCUUUUGCUGGCUUCCU